UGCCCCAUCACCUCUUCACCUCCAUUCCAGCUGCUGAUUGACAGUAUUUCCUAUCCCUGCUAACCAGGGACAGAACUCUGAUUGGAACUGAGGUGACCUCUACUCCCUUUCCCAUCUGUUAUCAAUGCACUGCGUCAGAUGUCAUACUCUUGGCUUUAGGACAUGAUUUCAUCUCUUCCUUACCAGUCAACCCUGCCACCCCUUCUUUCAUGGACAAUGACACUGAGGUCAUCAAGUCAUCAAGCAGGAACAUGGUCCAGCUCUUCUGUUGAUACCAGUUGUCAAGCCAGAGGGCUUAGACUCACCACAGCAAUUACCCGCAGUGCCAGGGCACUGGGUCUACUCUUCCACCAUGAAGAACAUUAAAGCGAUAUUAAGACAAGUCAUUUUCAUGCAGGAAUGGGUUGAUCUUUCCAACUGUGAUGCUUUACUUUCUUAAUUCAGGCUUUCGGAGCCACUUAUGCCCCCUAGGGGCUACCUUGGGGUUUAAAGAAAAACAAGCAUGUGUUUCUAUCCUAACCUCACAUCCAUGCUGGCUUCUGGAAAAAUGGGAAACUUUGUGGCACAGGAAGGAAGUUUUAGUAUUUUUCUGGAACCAUGGGAACUUCUGCCCACAGGCUUGAAGAAUCUUCCCAGUCGUUGACUGGUCCACAUAACCAUGAAGGCAUUGACUUUGGCUUUGACUCCCACGUGAACUGCUAAGUCACAAAGAAUGGCUUUUAAAAAAAUCUGUUCUAAGCAAAUGUAACAUGGAAGUGUUUUUCCCUGGAUAUUCUUCCAUAUUCAUCUUGAUACAAUAUAGACU